rnacentral:ribozyme from 1 species
AGAGGCCGCUCUGGCUGGCGGGGGCGGGGAUCUGGGUUAUAUAUCUAGAACCAAGCUUCCUUUGGGGGCUUGUGAUUUCAA